rnacentral:rRNA from 1 species
GGAGGGUGCAAGCGUUAAUCGGAAUUACUGGGCGUAAAGCGCGCGUAGGCGGGUAUUUAAGUCGAUUGUGAAAGCCCCGGGCUCAACCUGGGAACUGCAGUCGAUACUGGAUACCUAGAGUAUGGUAGAGGUAUGUGGAAUUCCCGGUGUAGCGGUGAAAUGCGUAGAGAUCGGGAGGAACACCAGUGGCGAAGGCGGCAUACUGGACCAAUACUGACGCUGAGGUGCGAAAGCGUGGGGAGCAAACAGGGAUUAGAGACCCUGGUAGUCCACGCCGUAAACGAUGAGAACUAGGUGUUGGGGGACUAGAUCCCCUUAGUGCCGCAGCUAACGCGUUAAGUUCUCCGCCUGGGGAGUACGGCCGCAAGGUUA